rnacentral:rRNA from 1 species
CGGACGGGGGAGUAAUGCUUGGGAAUCUAGCUUAUGGAGGGGGAUAACUACGGGAAACUGUAGCUAAUACCGCGUAAUAUCGAAAGAUUAAAGUGUGGGACCUUCGGGCCACAUGCCAUAGGAUAAGCCCAAGUGGGAUUAGGUAGUUGGUGAGGUAAAGGCUCACCAAGCCGACGAUCUCUAGCUGGUCUGAGAGGAUGACCAGCCACACUGGGACUGAGACACGGCCCAG